UGGGGAAUAUUGGGCAAUGGGCGAAAGCCUGACCCAGCAACGCCGCGUGAAGGAAGAAGGCCUUCGGGUUGUAAACUUCUUUUAUGAGGGACGAAGGAAGUGACGGUACCUCAUGAAUAAGCCACGGCUAACUACGUGCCAGCAGCCGCGGUACUACGUAGUGGGCAAGCGUUAUCCGGAUUUACUGGGUGUAAAGGGCGCGUAGGCGGGAAAGCAAGUCAGAUGUGAAAUCCAUGGGCUCAACUCAUGAACUGCAUUUGAAACUGUUUUUUUUGAGAGACGGAGAGGUAGAUGGAAUUCCUAGUGUAGCGGUGAAAUGCGUAGAUAUUAGGAGGAACACCAGUGGCGAAGGCGAUCUACUGGACGAUAACUGACGCUGAGGCGCGAAAGCGUGGGGAGAAAACAGGAUU
rnacentral:rRNA from 1 species